UCCCAAUAAACGGAACCGCCCCCCCCCAAACCCAAAACCCCAAACCGUCCCGGAGCUGCGGUGACCCGCAAAGUUGGGGGGGGGGUGGGGGGGUCCGGUCAUGAAUGCUCGUCUGUGCUGUCGGACCUCCCAGGCGGCGGCCGCCAACGGCACCGGACCGGGACCGACAACAGGACCGGGACCGGGACCGACAUCGGGACCGGGACCGGACCGACAACAGGACCGGGACCGGACCGACAACAGGACCGGGACCGACAUCGGGACCGGGACCGGACCGACAACAGGACCGGGACCGACACCGGGACCCGGACCGACAACAGGACCGGGACCGAUAACAGGACCGACAACAGGACCGGGACGGACACGGAGACCGGAACCAGGACCGACAACAGGACCGGGACCGACAACAGGACCGGGACCGGACCGACAACAGGACCAGGACGGACACGGAGACCGGGACCGGGACCAGGACCGACAACAGGACCGGGACGGACACGGAGACCGGGACCGACAACAGGACCGGGACCGACAACAGUCCGGGACCGACAUCGGGACCGGGACCAGGAUCGAUAACAGGACCGGGACCGACACGGGAACCGGGACCAACACCGGGUGGACACCAGGACCGACACCGACAUGAGGACCGACACCAGGACCGAUACCGGGACCGACAGCCCUCGGUGCGGGCACAGCAGAACAGCGAACCGCCACCACCUCCCCGCUGCACCGGGACCGACACCGGGACCGGGACCGACAUCGGGACUGACACCAGGAUGGACACCGGGACCGGGACCGGGACCGGGACCGACACCGACACCCCCCGGUCCGGACACGGCAGGACGACGAACCGCCGCCACCUCCCCGCCUCCCCGCCAGCGGCUCUCGAUCGCCCCAUCGGUUCGGGCGGUUCCGUUCGUCGGUCCGGCGCGGUACCGGAUUCUCUUACCUUGCAGCUCCUUCCGAACCGCACCGGCAGCGUUCAGCGCCAACAGCGCCAACAGCGCCCGCAACCCCGCAGCGCCCCGCAACGCCGAACCCAUCCCGACGGAACCGGCGGUGCGGAGCGCGGCGGGGCGGAGCGGAGAAGCGGAGGGGCGGCCGUUCAAAAACGAGGAGGAAACAAAGAACCGCCAAUCAGCGACGGACAGAACCGGGGAGUCCCGGAGGAAUAACGGAGGAUCCCGCAACGCCGCCCCGCACGAACCCCGCAGCAACGCCGUCCGGAGCGGC
rnacentral:lncRNA from 1 species